CCUAAUUUUAUACCAAAACUCCCACCCCCAACACACCCCUACCCCGCCGCCGAUGCCCCAUCCCCACCACACCCCUCCCCGGCGCCGACGCCCCAUCCCCACCACUGCCUGUCCUUCGUCGCCGCCCUUGCUGUCCGCCGCCAUUAAAGGCUUAAAAGCAACCUCUGCUCUGAAAGCAACUUCAGCUAUCUGGAAUCAGCACAUUCAUAAUAGCAACUGAAAUUCCAUAUUGCAGAAGCAUUUUUUUUUUUUUUUUGCAGAAGCAUAUUCAGGUUUUUGUAACAGCUUUUGGUUCAUGUUUUUAGACUGCAUAUUCAGAAAUGUGUUAAAGGCGAAAGCUGUUAUAAUUUAACUAAUACAGAGUUGUUGAUUAUUUUCCAUCGUUCAUGUUGAUUGUAGCACAAUACUGCCUGCUAAUACAGAGUUGUUGAUUAUGGAGAAAAGAGUGAAAUAGGUUGUGACUACUGCUGCUAAUACAGUGUUGUUGGAUUUCUUGACAUAUAGUAAUAUCUCCCAUAUUUCAUUUUUUACUUGUGGCUCGUUUGGAUAUGAAAUUAGUUGUUAAUCUUGAUUUGUUUGCAGACGCUCGAGAGGGGUCAGGAAGUACCUCAAGAUGAAGUCUUCAAGAUUACUCACACGAGGAGUCGAAGAACGCUGAUGGUACAGACCAAUGGAUUGAGCCAAGGUCUUAGUAAACCUAUACCGAGUAUCAACAACACAAGUUGGAAUAUUAUGACAGUCAGCCAGCCGAGACGUCAAUGACCAACGAGGUAAUUGAUCAGUAGUGGAUGGAGAAGGUUGCUCCCCCGACAAGGUACGAGACAGUUUAUGGGAUCCCUAAUCGAGCCUGUCGUCAAUUCCCGUCGUUCCUUCAAGGUGUAGGUGCUACUUCUGAGGGGGCAGUGGAUCCUAAGGAGUACCAAGAAAUGAAGCAGAAAGUUACUCAACUAACACGUACACUUAGUGCCACGGAGGCAAGGAUGUUGGUUAUGCAGGCCCAAAUAGACAGCUUACUCAAUUCGGGGGCCUUUCCGAUUCCCCCGUGUCCCGGGGAUGCUCGUAGGUCACAGCCCAGUAGACGACGUAGGUCACAGGCCAACGUAGUUCAUGGUCUUGUUGAUGAGGAUAGUGGGGAGGAUUCGGAUCAUGUCUCUAACACCCAACGUUGACUUUUUUGAUUCGUAUACUUUUGGACUCUAAUAUUACUAUGUUUUCUUGGAUAUGUAUAUGAUAUUUGAUUGUAGUUUUAAUUCGAAUCAGAUAUACUUUUGAAGGUGAAUCUGAUUGUAGAAAGUAGUUUAUGGUUGUUUAACUUUAUGGUGUUUUAAGUGUUUGAAUGUAGUUUUAAGGAUAUUUAGAAGUACUUUGAAUUUGAUAGUGAAUGUGUUGUAAUGAUGAAUUGGAU